GUAAAGAGGAUGUAUAGGGGCUGACGCCUGCCCAGUGCCGGAAGGUUAAGGGGAGGGGUGAGGCCGCAAGGCGUAGCUCCAAACCGAAGCCCCGGUAAACGGCGGCCGUAACUAU
rnacentral:rRNA from 1 species